rnacentral:hammerhead_ribozyme from 1 species
AUCUGGAUGACGAGUCCCAAACAGGACGAAAUGCACAUCCUGGAU